rnacentral:sRNA from 1 species
GCUGGGCAUGGUGGCACACGCCUGUAAUCCAAGCAGCUCAGGAGGCUGAGGCAGGUGGAUCAUGAGUUCAAAGACAGCCUCAGCAAAAGCAAGGCCCUAAGCAACUCAGUGAGACCCUGUCUCUA